rnacentral:rRNA from 1 species
GACGAACGCUGGCGGCGUGCCUAAUACAUGCAAGUAGAACGCUGAAGCGAGGAGCUUACUCUUCUUGGAUGAGUUGCGAACGGGUGAGUAACGCGUAGGUAACCUGCCUUGUAGCGGGGGAUAACUAUUGGAAACGAUAGCUAAUACCGCAUAACAAUGGAUGACACAUGUCAUUUAUUUGAAAGGGGCAAUUGCUCCACUACAAGAUGGACCUGCGUUGUAUUAGCUAGUAGGUGAGGUAAUGGCUCACCUAGGCGACGAUACAUAGCCGACCUGAGAGGGUGAUCGGCCACACUGGGACUGAGACACGGCCCAGACUCCUACGGGAGGCAGCAGUAGGGAAUCUUCGGCAAUGGGGGCAACCCUGGCCGAGCAACGCCGCGGGAGUGAAGAAGGUUUUCGGAUCGUAAAGCUCUGUUGUAAGUCAAGAACGGGUGUGAGAGUGGAAAGUUCACACUGUGACGGUAGCUUACCAGAAAGGGACGGCUAACUACGUG